UGCAAGUCGACGGAAAAGGCCCAGCUUGCUGGGUACUCGAGUGGCGAACGGGUGAGUAACACGUGGGUGAUCUGCCCUGCACUCUGGGAUAAGCCUGGGAAACUGGGUCUAAUACCGGAUAUGACCAACUGUCGCAUGGUGGUUGGUGGAAAGCUUUUGCGGUGUGGGAUGGGCCCGCGGCCUAUCAGCUUGUUGGUGGGGUAAUGGCCUACCAAGGCGACGACGGGUAGCCGACCUGAGAGGGUGAUCGGCCACACUGGGACUGAGACACGGCCCAGACUCCUACGGGAGGCAGCAGUGGGGAAUAUUGCACAAUGGGCGCAAGCCUGAUGCAGCGACGCCGCGUGAGGGAUGACGGCCUUCGGGUUGUAAACCUCUUUCACCAGGGACGAAGCGUGAGUGACGGUACCUGGAGAAGAAGCACCGGCCAACUACGUGCCAGCAGCCGCGGUAAUACGUAGGGUGCGAGCGUUGUCCGGAAUUACUGGGCGUAAAGAGCUCGUAGGCGGUUUGUCGCGUCGUCUGUGAAAUUCUGCAACUCAAUUGCAGGCGUGCAGGCGAUACGGGCAGACUUGAGUACUACAGGGGAGACUGGAAUUCCUGGUGUAGCGGUGAAAUGCGCAGAUAUCAGGAGGAACACCGGUGGCGAAGGCGGGUCUCUGGGUAGUAACUGACGCUGAGGAGCGAAAGCGUGGGUAGCGAACAGGAUUAGAUACCCUGGUAGUCCACGCCGUAAACGGUGGGUACUAAGGUGUGGGUUCCUUUUCACGGGAUCCGUGCCGUAGCUAACGCAUUAAGUACC
rnacentral:rRNA from 1 species